GAUGAACGCUGGCGGCGUGCCUAAUACAUGCAAGUCGAGCGAACAGACGAGGAGCUUGCUCCUCUGACGUUAGCGGCGGACGGGUGAGUAACACGUGGAUAACCUACCUAUAAGACUGGGAUAACUUCGGGAAACCGGAGCUAAUACCGGAUAAUAUAUUGAACCGCAUGGUUCAAUAGUGAAAGACGGUUUUGCUGUCACUUAUAGAUGGAUCCGCGCCGCAUUAGCUAGUUGGUAAGGUAACGGCUUACCAAGGCAACGAUGCAUAGCCGACCUGAGAGGGUGAUCGGCCACACUGGAACUGAGACACGUUCCAGACUCCUACGGGAGGCAGCAGUAGGGAAUCUUCCGCAAUGGGCGAAAGCUUGACGGAGCAACGCCGCGUGAGUUAUGAAGGUCUUCGGAUCGUAAAACUCUGUUAUUAGGGAAGAACAAAUGUGUAAGUAACUAUGCACGUCUUGACGGUACCUAAUCAGAAAGCCACGGCUAACUACGUG
rnacentral:rRNA from 1 species